rnacentral:rRNA from 1 species
AGGUAGUGACAAGAAAUAUUGAUAUUGGACCCAAAGGGGUACAAUGAUUGAAAUGAGAACAAUAUAAAAAACUUAACGACUAACAAUUGGAGGGCAAGUCUGGUGCCAGCAGCCGCGGUAAUUCCAGCUCCAAGAGUGUAUAUUAAAGUUGUUGCGGUUAAAAAGCUCGUAGUUGAAUUUCUGAAAAUAAUCUUGUGAUUGAUUUUAACCGUCAUGAACAAAAAUUGUUUACAUACUUGAUAGAUGGAAACAUUUUAUCUUAAUGACUUUGAAAAAAUUAGAGUGUUCAAAGCAUGAUUCACAUUUGAAUAAUACAGCAUGGGAUAAUAUAAUAUGACAUUAGUUAAAAUUUGUUGGUUUUCUUUGGUCUAAUGUAAUGAUUAAAAGGGACAGUUGGAGUAAUUUAU